GAAGACGCGGAGCAGAGAGGAGCCCAGAACGCUGGGGGCCGCAGCCUAUGGACUCCCGAAGGCCCUCGGCAGCGGUCGUCCGGAGGUGACAACGCCGGAUCCCGGAGGAACAGGAACCAUGGAGUACUGAUCCAGGAGCAUGCUGGGGAGCUUGGUGAACCAAAUGACUAAAACAGAGCUCUGACCAGUGGGACUUUGGGGACGUCAGCUGCAGUUGGGACAUGCCUUUCCCCCAAAUUCUUAACGAUCUCCCGGUACACGGUCUGCUGCACUUCCGGGUGCCACGCGAGAAGGUACACUGCCCAGGAUAAGGUGAA